GUUUUGGCGCGAGGACGAGCCGUGGGCGGCGGCGAGCCGGCGAUCGUCUUUGGCCCGCGCCCGUGCAGCAGCAGACCCCGACGAUUCACGUGCCCGGAGGCUGUUUGCCGUUGCCGGCCACCGCCCGGAGUGCUGGAGUGCUGCCCCGUGAAACAACUCCAAGCAGAGGACCAGCCCUCCGAGCACAACUGGACUAAUCUGAACGUAUUUGGAGGAAAGAAAAAUCCGCAUAUUUGAGAUGGAAGAAAAUAGAGUGGGUGCGCUGCCUUUGUUGCCUGAAGUUGGCAUGGAGUUCAGUACUAUUGAUGAGGCUUGGAUGUUUUGGAUUAGCUAUGAAGGUCAAAACAGGUUUGAGGUUAGAAAAAGGUACACAAACAAAAUAAAAUCAGAUGAGAGGGUUAGGUCCUGCAGAUAUGUUUGUGCAAAUGAGGGUCAUAGAAAGGAAGAUAAAAGGGAUCAUCUAACAAAGUGUCCAAGAGCUGAAACUAGAACCGGUUGUCAAGUUCGCAUGGGUGUUAUACUAGAUCGAGAGAAGGGGAAUUAUAAAGUGUCUGAUCUAGUUUUGGAACACAAUUACAUCCUUCAGUUGCCAGAAACCUCACACUUGAUGGCCAUCAAUACAGUCCCUCAACUGUGCAUUCAAACCUUUUAUUUUGCAGGGGGCAAUCACAUAUGAUGUUAUUGCUGAUUUCUAGUAGUACAUAUUGUUUAGGAGAACAACUUUUGGAGAAUAGCUUUUGUCAUUGAAGUGUAAAGUUUAGGGAAUUACAUCUCCGAACAACGAACAACAACGUAUUUUGUGCAUCUCUGAACUUGCAACAAUCAGCAUUACUUUUUAUUCAAUUCUAAGACAAUUUACAAUUUGCAUGAGUUUGCUACUUAGGAUACAAUCACAAGUUACAGAGUCUUGCUAGCUUUGAUGCUACUAUUUCUUCACCUUUGUCAGCGGCACCACCAGUUGGUGUACACCUUGAGGCAGAGCAGAGGUAUUUUGACUCCUCUUGGAAUGAUCCUACUUGCUGCUUCAGGUAAUCAGAAAAGCUUCCAAUUCGCUUUCACCUUUCAGCCAUUCAGUAGCACUAGCUCCCGAAACCUCGAGGUAAUAAACUAGCCAUUCAGUGACACUAGCUCCUCUUUGACUGAAACGAUUGAUGCUUCUCUGCCUCGACGAAACUUGCCGAGGUCGACCUCGAAGCUUGCAGGCCUGCAGCUUCCAGGACGGCAACGGCACGACGCUCGGCGAGGGACGGCCACGGCGCGGCGCUCGGCAAGCUCGAAGCUUGCAAGCCUGCAGCUUCCAGGACGGUGACGGCACGACGCUCGGCGAGGGACGGCCACGGCGCAGCGCUCGGCGAGGACGGCGCGCCACCGCUCUUGGCGAGGAUGGCGACGGGAGACGGCAAGGUCGCAAGGACGGUGCGGCGCGGCAGUGGAUGUGGCCCUCCGCCCUCGGCUGGAACUUCGGAAGACGGCGGCGGCGAGGAGAUGCUGGUGCUCUUGUUCCUGGGCUGAGAUGGGCCAGUGGGUGUGACUUGUAUUGGCCCGUUGAUUCCUCUGUAGCCCACCUCUCGUCUAUAGGACUUAUAGAACCUUUUUCCUCAGUGCAUACUCUGUUUACAAUCUCUCUCAGGAAUGUUCCUUCUGUAUUCAUUGGAUUAUUAGUAGUGAUUA